UAGAAUUUUUGGCAAUUUAAGAUAUUGCUAAUGAAGCAAUUAUAGACAAAACUGUCAGAAAUAAUGUAAUAACUCUUUAAAAUGCUGCAAUGCCUCUUGUAGCAACAUCCAAGUUUCACAGAAGGAAGAAAAUACAAACCACCUGAUUAAAUCUGAGCAAAAGGAGGAACACAGAAAAUUGAAAGACUUGCAUAAAGAUUUUUAGCCCUAAAAUACAGAAGUAGUUAUGACAAUGUAUCUUUUAUUAACUUCUCUUGUAUAAAAUAAAUUAAUGCUUUACUAGAAGUUCCAAUCCUGUUACAUCUGGAUGCUUCUCUAUCAUCAGUGUUGGGGCUGCUGAUGCCUUACAGUGGCCCUGACUGAUCUUCUGGUCUUGAGGGGACACCCCAAAACACAGUUUCUUUUCUGUCCCCACAUUUGGGCAGGUGUUAAUUUGUCGUCUUAACUGUAGUUGCAAGAAACAAAGGAGACAAAGCAGGAUGAGAAGCCACACUGCCCUAAGGACAUUUGCCUCUGGAAGAUAGUUGAUGAAGAUGCGCUGUAAAAAAAAAAGACCUGAUUACUAACCAUUUCCACUGGAUUCUGCCUUGGGACAGAAUCUCUCAAGAGGGUAUGUGUCCCUACGACUAGAGCUGUUUUCCUUCUGUGCUAGGGAAAAUCUAAAGAAAAUAUCCGCAAGAUACCUUCUGCUGGUAGCAAGACCAUAAUGCUAAGGUGAUGGGCAGCUAGUUGGGGGGGGCUCCAACCCUGGGAGCUUCUCUCAGCUGGAAGGCUGGUUCCAAGGGAGACAGGACUGUAUUUGCUUUUCCUCCCCUCGUGCUCUACAAGGAAAAAGAAACUGUGAACUGCAGCUUGCA
rnacentral:lncRNA from 1 species